GAUGAACGCUGGCGGCGUGCCUAAUACAUGCAAGUCGAGCGAACAGACGAUGAGCUUGCUCCUCUGACGGUAGCGGCGGACGGGUGAGUAACACGUGGAUAACCUACCUAUAAGACUGGGAUAACUUCGGGAAACCGGAGCUAAUACCGCAUAAUAUAUUGAACCGCAUGGUUCAAUAGUUAAAGACGGUUUUGCUGUCUCUUAUAGCUGGAUCCGCGUCGCAUUAGCUAGUUGGUAAGGUAACGGCUUACCAAGGCAACGAUGCGUAGCCGACCUGAGAGGGUGAUCGGCCACACUGGAACUGAGACACGGUCCAGACUCCUACGGGAGGCAGCAGUAGGGAAUCUUCCGCAAUGGGCGAAAGCCUGACCGAGCCACGCCGCGUGAGUGAUGAAGGUCUUCGGAUUGUAAAACUCUGUUAUUAGGGAAGAACAAAUGUGUAAGUAACUCUGCACGUCUUGACGGUACCUAAACAGAAAGCCACGGCUAACUUCGUG
rnacentral:rRNA from 1 species